rnacentral:lncRNA from 1 species
AUCAUUGUGGAUUUAUACCCUUUUUAAUCCCUUUACAAUGAUUUUAGCAGGGUCUCAGGAGGAAGUGGAGAAAAACACAUGAUACCUUCUUCCUGGAGUCCUCCGUCUUCCUGUUCCAAUUUGGACGGAUUGCUCUGUAGGCCUGCGGUGCAGCUGUCAUCCUGGGACGUCCCUUCAUUAUUCUGGGUUGGACCCAAUCUUUCUUGGACCCCAUAUCUUCCUCUUUCUUAGUUUACUCCCUUGUAGUGGACAUUGUAGUUGUUCUGCAGCAUCCAUUCCACUCCUCUCCCGCUGUAUAACAACUAUGCAAUGUGAGUGGGAUUGACCCCACCACCAGCUCUAGGUGUAGGCCUUUAUUGGUAUAAACUGAUCUGAGUAAUUUCACCCUCCUAGCCACAGUGAUGACUGGUUCAGGGAUGACCCAAUCACAAUGAGGCUUAGGACUUUUAUUCAGCUUUUGAGGGAGGAGAUGACCUAUCUUCCCUUGGAUAAGAACAAAGAAGCAUGUAGCCUGGUUGCUGCUGUUAGCCAUCUUGUGAACAUGUGGAAGGCCUACCUGAGGAUGGAGCUGAAAAAUGGAGGAGGCAGAGCCAAGAGAAUCACAGAAAUGGAACCAUAUUCCGGAUCAUGCCAUGCCUGAAAUCUCCCUGCCUGUGGACUCUUCAGUUAAUCAAGCCGUCUGGAGCUGUGACAGCCAUCUUGUGACCAUGUGGGGAUGAGCACGAGGAAGAAGACAACAUGUGAAGGAAGAAAGUCAGAAAGAGCCCAAUUUCUUGAUGGCAUCAUUGAGCAGCUGAACCCAUGCCACAGUUCCUGUUAACUUAAAAAAAUAAAUAAAGCCAUAUGUGUUUAAGCCACUAUCAGUUGAGUUUUUUGUUACUUGUAGCUGAAAUGAUUUUUAUUUGAUGGACCGCCAUGGUUCCUUGUCAUAUGCUUAUAUCAUUCUUUCUUUCUUUCUUUCGAGACAGAGUCUCGCUGCAAUGCCCAGGCUGGAGUGCAAUGGCACGAUCUCGGCUCACUAAAACCUCCACCUCCCAGGUUCAAGCAUUUCUCCUGCCUCAGCCUCCUGAGCAGCUGGUAUUACAGGCGCCUGCCACCACACCCAG